rnacentral:misc_RNA from 1 species
GGAGUAAAAGUCGUAACAAGGUUUCCGUAGGUGAACCUGCGGAAGGAUCAUUAAUGAGUUGUCAUGGGGUUCGAUGCUGGCAGCCAGUUUUUGGAUGCAUGCGCUUGCCCUAACAAUCAUCUUCUUCCAAACACCUGUGCACAUUUUUGAGGGAGUCUUGAGUUGGUUGCCGCUCUUGGGUGAUUUUCUCACAUUCCCUUAAAUCAUUAUACGCUAUUAACAAUGUUGAACGUGCUCUGUGCCGCAAGGCCAUUAAUAUAAUACAACUUUUAACAACGGAUCUCUUGGCUCUC